AGCAGCCGCGGUAAUUCCAGCUCCAAUAGCGUAUAUUAAAGUUGUUGCAGUUAAAAGCUCGUAGUUGAAUUUCGGGGUUAGUAGGUUGGUCAUGCCUCUGGUAUGUACUGGUCUCACUGAUUCCUCCUUCCUGAUGAACCUUAAUGCCAUUUAUUUGGUGUUUUGGGGAAUUUGGACUGUUACUUUGAAAAAUUAGAGUGUUUAAAGCAAGCUAACGCUUGAAUACAUUAGCAUGGAAUAAUGAAAUAGGACGUUCGAUCCUAUUUUGUUGGUUUCUAGGAUUGACGUAAUGAUUAAUAGGGAUAGUUGGGGGCAUUAGUAUUCAAUUGUCAGAGGUGAAAUUCUUGGAUUUAUUGAAGACUAACUACUGCGAAAGCAUUUGCCAAGGAUGUUUUCAUUAAUCAAGAACGAAAGUUAGGGGAUCGAAGACGAUCAGAUACCGUCGUAGUCUUAACCAUAAACUAUGCCGACUAGGAAUCGGAUGGUGUUAAUUUUUUAAUGACUCAUUCGGCGCCUUACG
rnacentral:misc_RNA from 1 species